UACGAAGGGGGCUAGCGUUGCUCGGAAUUACUGGGCGUAAAGGGCGCGUAGGCGGACAGUUUAGUCAGAGGUAAAAGCCCAGGGCUCAACCUUGGAACUGCCUUUGAUACUGGCUGUCUUGAGUACGGGAGAGGUGUGUGGAACUCCGAGUGUAGAGGUGAAAUUCGUAGAUAUUCGGAAGAACACCAGUGGCGAAGGCGACUCACUGGACACGUAUUGACGCUGAGGUGCGAAAGCGUGGGGAGCAAACAGG
rnacentral:rRNA from 1 species